GACGAACGCUGGCGGCGUGCUUAACACAUGCAAGUCGAACGGAAAGGCUCCAGCUUGCUGGAGUACUCGAGUGGCGAACGGGUGAGUAACACGUGGGUGAUCUGCCCUGCACUUCGGGAUAAGCCUGGGAAACUGGGUCUAAUACCGGAUAGGACCGCACUUUGGUGUGUGUGGUGGAAAGGUUUUUCUGGUGUGGGAUGAGCUCGCGGCCUAUCAGUUUGUUGGUGGGGUAAUGGCCUACCAAGACGGCGACGGGUAGCCGGCCUGAGAGGGUGGACGGUCACAGUGGGACUGAGAUACGGCCCAGACUCCUACGGGAGGGAGCAGGGGGGAAUAUUGCACAAUGGGGGAAACCCUGAUGCAGCGACGCCGCGUGGGGGAUGAAGGCCUUCGGGUUGUAAACUCCUUUCGCUAGGGACGAAGCUUUUUGUGACGGUACCUGGAGAAGAAGCACCGGCUAACUACGUG
rnacentral:rRNA from 1 species